AGUGAACGCUGGCGGUAGGCCUAACACAUGCAAGUCGAACGGCAGCACAGUAAGAGCUUGCUCUUACGGGUGGCGCGUGGCGGACGGGUGAGGAAUACAUCGGAAUCUACUUUUUCGUGGGGGAUAACGUAGGGAAACUUACGCUAAUACCGCAUACGACCUACGGGUGAAAGCAGGGGAUCUUCGGACCUUGCGCGAUUGAAUGAGCCGAUGUCGGAUUAGCUAGUUGGCGGGGUAAAGGCCCACCAAGGCGACGAUCCGUAGCUGGUCUGAGAGGAUGAGCAGCCACAGUGGAACUGAGACACGGUCCAGACUCCUACGGGAGGCAGCAGUGGGGAAUAUUGGACAAUGGGCGCAAGCCUGAUCCAGCCAUACCGCGUGGGUGAAGAAGGCCUUCGGGUUGUAAAGCCCUUUUGUUGGGAAAGAAAAGCAGCAGGUUAAUACCCCGCUGUUCUGACGGUACCCAAAGAAUAAGCUCCGGCUAACUUCGUG
rnacentral:rRNA from 1 species